CGGAGACAGGAGCGACGGCGGCUGUGCAAGGAAUUAGAUCGGGAGGAGCACGAGUUGCGCGUGCUAAGAAAACCUAGGCUCUAAUACCAUGUUAGGAAAGCAACUUGUAUUCCCAUGAGGCCAUAGGCCGGUAUAUAUACAACCUAGGCUCUAAUACCAUGUUAGGAAAGCAACUUGUAUUCCCAUGAGGCCAUAGGCCGGUAUAUAUACA
rnacentral:lncRNA from 1 species